UACGUAGGGACCGAGCGUUGUCCGGAAUUAUUGGGCGUAAAGGGCGCGUAGGCGGUGCGGUAAGUCACCUGUGAAAUCUCCUGGCUCAACUGGGAGCUUGCAGGCGAAACUGCCGUGCUGGAGUGUGGGAGAGGUGCGUGGAAUUCCUGGUGUAGCGGUGAAAUGCGUAGAUAUCAGGAGGAACACCUGUGGCGAAAGCGGCGCACUGGACCACAACUGACGCUGAGGCGCGAAAGCUAGGGGAGCAAACAGG
rnacentral:rRNA from 1 species